AGGAUGAACGCUGGCGGCGUGCCUAACACAUGCAAGUCGAACGUCCUGUCUCGCAAGAGGCAGGGAGUGGCGGACGGGUGAGUACCACGUGGGUCAUCUACCGUGAGGUGAGGAAUACCGGCGAGAAAUCGCCGACAAGACCGCAUAGGCUCGAUGCAAGUCGAGCAAAGCUCUUUCGAGAGAGGGAGCGCCACACGAGGAGCCUGCGCCCGAUUAGCUAGCUGGUGGAGUAACGGUUCACCAGGGCGACGAUCGGUAGCUGGUCUGAGAGGACGAUCAGCCACACUGGGAUUGAGAACGGCCCAGACUCCUACGGGGGGCAGCAGUGAGGAAUUUUCGUCAAUGGGGGCAACCCUGAACGAGCAACGCCGCGUGCAGGAAGAAGGUUUUCGGAUCGUAAACUGCUUUUCUCGGGGAAGAGAACGGACGGUACCCGAGGAAUCAGCCCCGGCUAACGUACGUGCCAGCAGCCG
rnacentral:rRNA from 1 species